CAAUAGCGUAUAUUAAAGUUGUUGCAGUUAAAAAGCUCGUAGUAGGAUUUCUGGUUGAAGCGACCGGUCGGGCGUUGAUUCGUCUGCACUGGAGUCGGUUUUGGCCAUCCUCUAGGAAAGUGCGUCUGGUAUUAAGUUAUCGGGCGUAUGAUCCUGGUCUUUUACUGUGAAAAAAUUAGAGUGUUUAAAGCAGGCCUUCGCCUUGAAUACAUUAGCAUGGAAUAAUAAGAUAGGACUUUGGUCUAUUUUGUUGGUUUGCAGACCGAAGUAAUGAUUAAUAGGGAUAGUUGGGGGUAUUUAUAUUCCGAUGUCAGAGGUGAAAUUCUUAGAUUUUCGGAAGAUAAACUUAUGCGAAAGCAUUUACCAAGGAUGUUUUCAUUAA
rnacentral:rRNA from 1 species